ensembl:lncRNA
GUGGUCUGGGAGCCACCUCCAUUAGGUUUGCCUGGAGGUGGUGGUGGUAAGGCUUGUUAACAGCAAAGAUUACUGUACCCAAUCCUAGAUCCAGUGAAUAGGACUCUGGGGGCUGGGUCCCCUGAAAAAUGUAUUUUUAAUAAGCUGGGGGAGUGAAUGUCAUGACCAUUAAAUUUUCAGAACUACUGUACUGCAGGAUAAUUUUCUACUGUGAAUUAAUUUAUUCUUUGAGUUGCAGCUGCUCCCAGGUCAUAUAGUACUUUGGGGUAAAAUUAAGCAAAAGUAUCACCUUGUCUUACGGCAAAAGCUUUCUUACCUCUGCUCUGGGAAGUAGUCCCACACCUCCUGGAAGCUAGGAGAAAAUGAUUUCUGCUAUCAAAUAUAGUUGAAAUCAAGAUGGUGUGGUACUAGUGAGAAAAUAGACACACAGAUCAUCGGAACAGAAAAUUCAGAAAUAGACCCACACAAAUAUGAUUAGUGUAUUUUUUUGACAAAGAUGACAAGAGUUUGAAACUUCAGUAGUUCUCUGGUCUGUCUGGAUUUUGGCACAGCGGCUGGACAAGGCUCUUUAACUGGAGUUCUUCAACUUCCUUUGUGGCUCUCAGGCAGGCAUCAAUAUAAAGAGCUGCAUAUUAUUCCAGAGAGACUUGAUGCUGGGACCUACAGCUACUGCUUUAUAAUGGUAAGCAACCUGAGGCCCAGAGAGGUGAAAUGUUUUUGAGUUCACACAACAACUUGAGGUGAGUUUAGAUUGGGAUGAUGGUCUUGUGACAUAUUGAAGACACCGACUGAGAAUCACAAGUCCCUUAUCUGUCUCAAGUGCUCUGAUUCUACAAUCGCCAGGCUAUGGUUUUGGUUUGUCCAGCAAGCUUCCUGUCCUUCAAUCAUUGGUGAGGAUUUUUUGAGCAUAGCCCAGUCUCCUUACCUGUGGGAUGUCUUGGGGCUCACUGGCACAUAUUUUCUGUUUUACAGAUAAACUCCUGAUCAGAUAGGCUCAGUCCAUACUCUGCACCUCACUCUCUCUAUUGCUUUGGUGACAGACCAUAUUCCCACUUCCCUCUUAUCCUGACUCCUGACUAAGCACAACCCUUAGAGUCUCUCCACACCUUCAGUCACUGAGGGCUCUGCUCCUUAGUGUGGCGUUGCUAGCCAACUUAUCCCAACUUUGCAGGUGGUACCCAGGCAAUCUCUUAUGUGUGCCCUGUACUGUGCUAGAUGCCAAUAGAGACAAAAGACUCAGGAAACUUCGUCACAGCCUUUGAUCAGUUGCCUCAGCACAAAGGCAAACUUUUUAACAUAGCUCACAAGGUCCUUUUUCAUGAUUGGGUCUGACCUUAAAAUGAAGAAAUCAUGGUCGUUCCUAAACAAAUGAUUGUCCCUCCAAUAUCACAGGUUACAUUCUAUUCUUUCCCCUUUCCUUACUUGUAACUCCCUCUUCCAAAAGUAAGAAACUUAGCUCCUCUUGAUAACCGUUUUUUUAAAACUCUGAUUUUUGAAAUAAUUUUAGACCUACAGCAAAGUUACACAGAUAGCACAGAGAGUUCCUAUAUACUUCUCACUUAGUUUCUAUUUAUCGUCUUGAAUAACCCUGGUACAUUUAUCAGAAGUAAAACUUAACAUUGGUGUGUUACCAGCAACUAAACUCCAGAUUUCCUUUACUACUUUUCCCACUGAUAUCCUUUGUUUGUUCCAAGAUCCAAUCCAGGAUACUGCAUUUUAUUUAAACCUCAGUUUUUUGUUUUUUGUUUUUUUGAGGAAGAUUAGCCCUGAGCUAACAUCUGCUGCCAAUCGUCCUUUUUGCUGAGGAAGACUGGCCUUGAGCUAACAUCCAUGCCCAUUUUCCUCUACUUUAUAUGUGGGACGCCUACUACAGCAUGGCUUGCCAAGCAGUGCCACGUUCGCUCACACCCAGGAUCCGAACCGGCGAACCCUGGGCUGCCCAAGCAGAACGUGCGAACUUAAUCACUGUGCCACCAGGCCUGCUCUAGCCCUCAAUAUUUUUAAAGGUACUGCCCAAAUAGUGCUGGGUCUGCAGCUUGAAGGUGAGGUGUGGGCCUAUUUUCUGCACCCUGCAACAUAAAAUCCAAACCUGUGGCCUUUCUGAAUAAAAUUGAAUUUUCAUCUUAAUUUGAAGUACAGGUGUUUAGAGAUGUCAAGCCAUGAGACAAGGAAAAGUCAACAUGAAGUAGACACUUUCUUUCCCAUGAGUAAUAAAACUUUAAGAUCACAAUAUUAUUUCCAUUACAAGAACAUGAAUAAUGUGAACGGUGGCUUUACUAUUGCUGAGUGUUUUGUUGGGCACGUUUCUAUUGAGUCACCUCAUGUUUUAAAAUUCUAGACACAGGGAAAGCAGAGUUGGCAAAGGUUGGCCAAGAGAACUAAGCUCCCAGGAGGUUGUAUUUUAUGUUUUUCCCUAAAAUAAGCCAGAUAUGAUGCUGGAAAUUUUUUACACACUAUUUUAAUUGUACAAAACCUGGUGUGGUUAUGGUUUUCCUCAUUUUUAGAGUUGAGAAAAUUUAGCCAUGAAGUAUUUUAAAAAGUUUCUCAACAUUACGUCGCAGACCAGCAUGAGGGAGAGGGAGCAUCAAGCCCAUCUUUCCUGAUUCCAAAGCUGAGCCCUUCCCACUGUCGAAUGGCCACUUCUCACCACGGAAUCAAUGAGAGUAGAAUGUGCGUAUGUGAACGAACUUGUAAACUUCAAAGCGGAAUAAAACAUUAGGAUUAUAAUCAUUGCAAAUGUUAAUAAUUUAUUAAUUUGUUCUAAAACGUUUUUAAUCCCUGUAUGUGUGAAUUUACAUACAGGUAAAGCAUGUUUAGAUACACUUUGAAGAUAAUUUGUCCUAAAAUAUAGAAACUUCAUUAUCUUAUGUGACAGCACAACAGAACGCCUCUGUUUUUAUAUAUUGUGGAUUUCUAGAAACUUAUACAACUGCUAAAAAUUGAACAAUAGACUUAAUAUUAUGAGGAUUUCUGCUCACAGAAUGCUAAAAAUGUAAAAUCUCUACUUGUAUUUUGACUUUUAGACACCAUGUUCGAGACUAUAAUGAUUUUGUUUAAUAUCUUUAAUUUUAUUAUUUUUUGUUAAGAAAGAUACUUGACCUCUCUAGCCCCAAUUUACUUAACAGUGGGUGCACAAUUAACUGUUUAAAUCUGAUGAGCCUCCAGUUGAGGGUAAAGAUACUUGGCUUCCAGAACAUCUAGUGAUAAACCUCUUUAUCUAAUUUAUAUACCACCUACUACCUUCAGAAAGAUACUUAACCUCUAUGGCCCCAAUUUAGUCAUCAGUAAAAUGGAAUAUAAUAAUCUUACCUACCUGAUAGGGUUGCUGUGAUGAUUCAGGAGGAUGAUAUUAAUAAAGCUUGUGGAGUAGUGCUUGGCACAGAGUAAGCACUACAUAAGCCAUUUGUUAAAUAAAUCAAUAAGAAUAGAGCUUCAUCACAACAUCAAUGGUAAUAAACCUUCAUUGAUUUCUUUCUACAUGCUAUAUUUC